GCGCCCGUAGCUCAGUUGGAUCAGAGCGCGCGGCUACGAACCGCGAGGCCGGGGGUUCGAGUCCCUCCGGGCGUACCA
rnacentral:tRNA from 1 species